GCCAUCUACGUGCCAAAUAUAAUUGGGUCCUUUCACUUUGUACGAUCGUCUCUUUAAUCGGUGUUUCGAACGCCUUUGAACCCCUGCAGGAUCUACAAUUUUUAGGACCUGACGGACUGUUUCCCUGUCUGUAACUAGAUUGUAAUCCACCGUCAAUCUCUUGUGCAUUGCUCUGUACCCGAUUGAACUACCACUUCCACGUAACUCCCUUUCUACCUCAGACACAACUUCGUACACUGAACUGCAUACCUUUCGGCGUCGCAACCCCAUUGUCUUGAGUAGUCGUUUCAACUGGCGAAGACUGAGUAUGAUUCCGUGAAACUUCGAAAGAAACACCAAAAUUUCUUCAUAAGGAAAGCCAAGAUUGAAGUAUUUUUGUAUAUAACUCUCUCUGGAACCUUCACCUAGUUCCGAAAGUGGUAGAUAUUCAUGAAGAGUAACGGCGAAACAUGUCGUCGUGAUAAUGAUUAAAUAGAGUACGCAAACACAACAUAAGAGACGAACGGCCAUGUUGGUGUGAUUUUGAAAAAGAAUAACCCUCAUUCUGACAUUAAAAGAAGUCGGAAUUUGAAAAAAAAGUCGGAAUUUUAAAAAAGUCGGAAUUUAAAAAAAAAAGUCGGAAUUCGAAAAAAAAAGUCGGAAUUUAAAAAAAGUCGGAAUUUUAAAAAAGUCGGAAUUUAAAAAAAGAAGUCGGAAUUCGAAAAAAAAAGUCGGAAUUAAAAAAAAAGUCGGAAUUUAAAAAAAAAGUCGGAAUUCGAAAAAAAAGUCGGAAUUUUAAAAAAAAAGUCGGAAUUCGAAAAAAAAGUCGGAAUUUAAAAAAAAGUUGGAAUUUUAAAAAAAGUCGGAAUUUUAAAACAAAAAAGUCGGAAUUUAAAAAAAAGUCGGAAUUCGAAAAAAAAGUCGGAAUUAAAAAAAAAAGUCGGAAUUUAAAAAAAAGUCGGAAUUCGAAAAAAAAAGUCGGAAUUAAAAAAAAAAGUCGGAAUUUAAAAAAAAAGUCGGAAUUCGAAAAAAAAAGUCGGAAUUAAAAAAAAAGUCGGAAUUUAAAAAAAAGCAGCAGAUAAAUCUAUGGCCCUUAUGGGGCUCCGUACAUUUCUGUUUAUUGACCAGUACUUAUUUAAUGUCUUCUUCAUCCAGUGGUCAGAGUAAAUUUCUACUUCUAGCAAGUAAAUAUUUGACAAGCAGUCUGGAAUAAGCACAGGACUUUUAAUGCAUCAGCCAAAUCCAAGUGUGUCCAUCCCCCUCGCCCAGCCAUUUUCCUGUAAAGCACAUCCCGGGGGUUGGGCA